UGAUCGGAGAGACAUUGUUGAGGAUGAGGGAGACAUCGUCCUCGAUCAGAGACAUUGUCCACGAUCGCAGAGACCUUGUCAAAGAUGAGAGAGACGUUGUCCAUGAUCUGAGACAUUGUCCCAUGCUUCGUAGAGACCUUGCGAUAGAAUCGGCGGAGACGGGGGUCACCGAUUUGACGGCACUGCCCGCGAUCAUGGAGACAUUGUUGAUGGUCACAGAGACAGCGUCUAUGAUCUCAGAGACAUCGUCCACGAUCGCAAAGACAUUGGCCACGAUCACAGAGACUUUGUCCAUAAUCUCAGAGACAUUGUCCGCGAUCACAGGGACGUAGUCCACGAUCACAGAGUCUUCGCACAGUGAAGUUCUUUGAGACCAGGACAGAGGCCUCCAGGUGUCACCGCUUUGUCCACGAUCGCAGAGACGUAGUCCACGAUCACAGAGUGUCUUUGCACAAUGAAGAUGUUCUUUGCAACCAGGACAGAGGCCUCCAGGUGUCACCACUUCGUCUGCAAUCACAGAGACAUGGUCCAUGAUUGGAGAGACAUUGUUGAGGAUGGGGGAGACAUUGUCCAUGAUUGCCGAGACGUGCAACAAUUGCAGUGACAGAGUUCCUCAUACAAUGAAGGAAUUCAGGACUGAGGCCUCCAGAUGAAUCCACAGAAACAACAGGAUCCACCAAAAUGGUGAUGGUAAGAAAAUAUUUUUAUUUGAUAUAUUUGUUUAGAAACAGAUCAAUAAUAUAUUUCUGAAACUUCACAUCAACAAACAAUUUAUUCAGUUAUUAAAAUAUGAUUAGGAAAUACAGACACUUGAACUGUCUCUCAAAUGUCACUGAAAUAAACAAAAACAAUGUAACAGAAGUAAUUUGUAACAAUGUAAUCUGCCAUAUAAAAAUUUGGUAUAAGGUAUUAACAAUGUGUCUUAUCAGGUGUAAUGUAAUUUAAAAGUCAUUUGUAAUAACAGAAAAAAGAUGAAACAAUCAAAUGUAUCUUUAGUAUAAAAGUAAUUUCCAUUAAUAAGGGUCUAUCUGUAAAUUUAGAAGUAGUUUAGGUGUCACAAACGGUCAAAAAAUGUUGUAGUAUAGUAUGCCGUUAAAAGUGAUCAAAAAUGUUCAAAAAAUGUCAUAGUAUUGCAAGGCGUUAAAAAUGAUCAAAAACCAUCAAAAACCGUCAAAAAAUGUCACAGCAUAGUAAGGUGUCAAAAAUGCCAUAGUAAAGGAAGGCAUGAAAAAUGGUCAAAAAAUGUCAUAGUAUAGUAUGCCGUUAAAAGUAAUCAAAAAUGUUCAAAAAAAAAUGUCAUAGUAUUGCAAGGAAGGCAUGAAAAAUGGUCAAACAUUAUCAAAACCGUCAAAAAAUGUCACAGCAUAGUAUUGCAAGGCAUGAAAAAGUGAUCAAAAAAUAUCUCAGUAUAGUAAGGCAUGAUAAAUGGUCAAAAAUGUCAUAGAAUACCGUCAAAAAAUGUCACAGUAUAGUAUGCCGUUAAAAGUAAUCAAAAAUGUUCAAGAAAAAUGGUCAAAAAAUGUCAUAGAAUACCGUCAAAAAAUGUCACAGUAUAGUAUGCCGUUAAAAGUAAUCAAAAAUGUUCAGAAAAAUGUCAUAGUAUUGCAAGGCAUGAAAAGUGAUCAAAAAAUGUCAUAGGAUAGUAAGGUGUCAAAAAUGCCAUAGUAUAGUAUGCCGUUAAAAGUAAUCAAAAAUCUUCAAGAAAAAUGGUCAAAAAAUGUCAUAGUAUACC